rnacentral:rRNA from 1 species
UUUCUGAGUGGGGCGCAGCCUGAUGCAGCCCGCCGCGUGUGUGAUGAAGGCCUUCGGGUUGUAAAGCUCUUUCAGCCGGGACGAAACCGUGGCGGUACCUUCGAGGGUGCACCAUGGUACUCCGUGCCACGGCCGCGGUACUGCGUGCCAGCAGCCGCGGUAAACA